GUGUACAUCUGUUUGCUGUGUGGGACUGAUCACCACCCCUUCCACGUUAGCAGUCAUGGAUCAUUUCUGCUGACAGAAGACAAACUACCUGGUGACCAGGUCAGCCCUAGUUCCUAGGCUUCUGAAUUCCCAGUACCUCUGCAGGCAGAAGGUCCUCAAUUACUUGAACGCGUCUCAGGUGCUGGAACAAACGUAUGCCAGUGCAAAAGCCUUUCUCAGAAGGAUGAAAGAGUACAGUGGCUGUUCAAUAUCUGCUGAACAGAUGAAGUUAAAGACCAUGAGAGGUCAUCAAAUGGAACACACCACUUUCUUCCCUGUAGUUACUUUGCCUUCAGAGCUAUUAUUCUCUCCACCAGGCAUAACAUGAGCUGACCACCUAAUCUGUUGCACAGGUUUGCUGUCUGAGUGCCAGACCCUCUGCAGCUCCUUUGAAAGGUGAUACAAAGAAAAGUCUUACCAAAACAAAACAAAACAACCCCAAAAAACCUCUCAUAGAGAUUUGAGUUAAUUUUAGGAAACUGUUGGCAUCAGCAGAUUAAACAAACACAUGAGCCAUGUGGUCUAAAGGAGCUGGUUUGACUAGAUAGUGCACUAUUGUAAAGAGUUAGUGGCAAAAAAUAGUGCAGUAGACUGGAUAUCUCUGCUAGGACAACUGGAAAUUUCCUCUGGGCAUGUGCCCCUGAUACCAUAGUAGGUAGCAGGUCCCACAGAAAGCAUUUCCUUUUGUUAAAAAAAUAAAAAAUAAAAAAUAAUUGCUCUCCCUUGGAUAAGGGCUUAGAGGCAGAUUAACAACUACUUAAGGAGUCAGUUUUUAUAAUCUCCAUUAUCCUGGCCUAUAUCAGAGUAAAAAGCCUUUUAACUGCCUUCAUAUGUCUGCCCCUCACCUCCAUGGCCAAAGCACAGCCCCACGCAAUGGCAUGAGAGAUGGCUGGGCCUGGACCUGGAAAUGUGAGAGGUAGCCAGGCCUGGAUGGGGAAAUGUGAGAUGCGGCCGGCCUAGACCUCAGAGCCUGGGCACAGCCAACAGCAGCCCGUGGCUUGGUGCCACCUGUGGGCAGGCUUUGGGCUCUUCUCCCAUGCAUGCGGUGUCCACUGGCAACCCCAACAAGCCCAGAGUGGAUGUCAGCACCACCGCCAGCUGAGGUUCAGGCUGAGGGCUUUUCUGGUUAGGAGUAAUAGAUAAGAAUAGUAGAAAUUAAACUUUAUCUGUUACACAUGUCAUGCACCUCAAAUAUUUGCACAACGCCAUAUUUGCGGUUGUAAGAACAAUCAUCUGAAUGCCUACACAUUUUCCAAACCACUGUGUAAAUUCCAAAAUGCUGUAUAAACACACUGCUGACAGUGCUUGUGGGUGAAAGUGAGGUCCUUCUCAGGACAAGGAGCCUAUUAUUUCCUGAGGAACAAAUGUGUGCCAGAGGGCAGUAGCAAAAAAGAGACAUUAGAAAAGCCUAAACACAAAGCUAAGGGAAAGGCAUCAAGGAUAAACACAAGAAGCCCUGUGAACAACUCCAUCGACUCCACUGGCAGGAAUAUUGUUGGGGCAGAAGUGAAAUUUAACCCAACAAAGAACACAUACAUUUGGCAUUUAGUUAUCAAGGGAAUAUAGUUGUUGGCUACAGAGAGGGUCUGUGAACAGCUAGUUAUGGCUGUAUGUUUCCAUAAACAGGGCUCUAACUCCCCAGGUUUGCCCCUGCUCCCACACAUCCCAACAACAAGCACUUGCUGUAAGCUGUAGGCUCACAGAAGGCCCCUGACCGGUGCUGAAUUUAGUCGAAGGUUUCCAUAAACACCAGUGCUGAAGGGGCUGCCACUUCAACAAACUACUCAACCAGAGCCAUUCUUACCUUUCUGAAGCAGAAGGGUUUGCCAUUAUUUUGAUAAUGGUUUCAAUAGGACUACUGGAACAACUUUUCUCAUAAAAAUUACCAAAAACAAUCUAAAAUCUCUCUACUUUGGCUGCCUUUAAACAACAUUGUUUUCAGAUCCCUUAAAUAAAAAUUUUCCUUUUUUUUUUUUUUUUUUUUUUUUUGCAAAAAUGGGCAGGUUUUCUAUAGAGCUCUCAGUUCUGUAAGCACGUACACCUGCUGUGCUUUACUACCAAAGCCAGUCUCAUAAAAGCCCACACAUUGUUCAUGAUCUCAAACACAUCAGCAACUUCACAGAUUUUCUGGGAGGGUUUGUAAGUGAAUGGAUUGCAGCCAACCUAACACAACAUUGUCCCUCUAGACACAUAGGUGUGAUUUGUUUCCAAAUCUGGCAUAACCGUUCAAUGGACAACAGUAACUCCUGUGUCAGAAAUGCGCCAAAAUGAAUAAAAGAAUUGAAAAAUAUACGUGUCCUUGUUUCUUUU
ensembl:lncRNA